rnacentral:rRNA from 1 species
GACGAACGCUGGCGGCGUGCUUAACACAUGCAAGUCGUACGGAAAGGCCCUGCUUUUGUGGGGUGCUCGAGUGGCGAACGGGUGAGUAACACGUGAGUAACCUGCCCUUGACUUUGGGAUAACUUCAGGAAACUGGGGCUAAUACCGGAUAGGAGCUCCUGCUGCAUGGUGGGGGUUGGAAAGUUACGGCGGUUGGGGAUGGACUCGCGGCUUAUCAGCUUGUUGGUGGGGUAGUGGCUUACCAAGGCUUUGACGGGUAGCCGGCCUGAGAGGGUGACCGGCCACAUUGGGACUGAGAUACGGCCCAGACUCCUACGGGAGGCAGCAGUGGGGAAUAUUGCACAAUGGGCGGAAGCCUGAUGCAGCAACGCCGCGUGCGGGAUGACGGCCUUCGGGUUGUAAACCGCUUUCGCCUGUGACGAAGCGUGAGUGACGGUAAUGGGUAAAGAAGCACCGGCUAACUACGUG